AGGACGAACGCUGGCGGCGUGCUUAACACAUGCAAGUCGAGCGGAAAGGCCCUUCGGGGUACUCGAGCGGCGAACGGGUGAGUAACACGUGAGCAACCUGCCCUUAGCUCCGGGAUAGCUCCGGGAAACCGGAAUUAAUACCGGAUAUGACCUAGGCCGACAUCGGCUGUGGUGGAAAGUUUUUCGGCUGGGGAUGGACUCGCGGCCUAUCAGCUUGUUGGUGGGGUAAUGGCCUACCAAGGCGACGACGGGUAGCCGGCCUGAGAGGGCGACCGGCCACACUGGGACUGAGACACGGCCCAGACUCCUACGGGAGGCAGCAGUGGGAAUCUUGCGCAAUGGGCGAAAGCCUGACGCAGCGACGCCGCGUGGGGGAUGGAAGGCCUUCGGGUUGUAAACCCCUUUCAGCAGGGACGAAGCGAAAGUGACGGUACCUGCAGAAGAAGCGCCGGCUAACUACGUGCCAGCAGCCGC
rnacentral:rRNA from 1 species